CGGGGCGCCAGAGGCUUCAGUCCUGGUCACGGUGCUGUGGCUUUGGGCCUCGCAGCCAGAGCACCGCAGCGCGCCCCUCCCGCACCAGGAAAGGGGGCGGGCGCCCCGCAGGGCACCCAGCGUCCCCCCGCUGCGCCCCACUCUCCCGCCACGCCGCUCACCACCCGGGCUGGGGACCAAGCCUUGGCACGUGGCCUCUAGGCAGCGCAGGCUCUGCUGCCCGGAGCGGGAGUGCUCAGCGUCCGGGUGGGGCAUCUCCCACCCUUCUAGGCGGACUGGCCCAGCCUUUCACAGGUUUGCCUCUCGUUAGGGGGCUGGAGGCCUUACAGUCAGACUGAGACCAAAGGAAGGGCCUUCCUGGAGAGCGGUGCUCCGUGUUUCCAUCUCCACCUCGCCUCCUCCUCCUCCUCCGGCAGCUGAGCGCUUGUCAGCCAGGCCUGUCUGGAGCUGUGGCUGCGCAUAGUAUUUUUCUAUCAAUCCGUUCUGUGAAUACACUCAAAACCGUAUCCAAAAUUAGCUUCUGUUCACAUUAUCUACUCAUUAAGAUUUAUCUACUGCAGUACUUCACAGUUUUCCAUCAAAAUAUCCCUAAUGGCAGGGAAAGUAGACAGAAUGAAUGGAUGAGCCAAGCUGGGCCCGGGAGAUAGGACUUUCCUCAGUGUCAUGUUUUAACCUAAAAUGUCAUGCAGACUUUGCAUUUCUUGCUUUCUGUCUAUUUUCUUCUUUUCAAGUUGAUGCUGCGUGGAAAAGACUGACUUAUACCGUGGUUCUCCUGGCCCCUAGCAGGCUGACACACGCUCCAAAAGGCACAGAAAUGCGAAACUCAGAUGGCUUCCCUGCUGUUGGGUGGGGUUUCAGCUCUUUUUAGUGUGUUAGACCUACAGUUCUCUCUGAGAAAGGCUACGGAUGGCUGAUGUACAAUAAUUUAUAGCCACUGGUGUUACCAGAAUAUUUAUGUAUAAUCAUAAUUUUCAGGCUGUGAGGUUCUUGGGAAAGAACCUAGUCAUUUAAAAUGAAGUUCAGGGCCGGAGAUUUAGCUCAGUGGUUUCACUGCCUGCUCUGCAGGCGCAAGGACCCUAGUUUGAUCCCCAGUACCAAAAAACAAACAAAAAAAAGAAGUUCAAUUUUUUUUUUUUUUUUUCUGGUACCAGGGAUCAAACAUAGGACCUUGCACUUGUGAGGCAGGCACAGUGCCACUGAGCUAAAUCCCUGGCCCUUUUUUUUUUUUAAACAGGGUGUUGCUAAGUCACUAAAUUGCUCAGCCUAGGCUUCAGUUUACAAUCCUUUUGCCUCAGGCUCCCAGAGAGUGCUGGGAUUAUAGAUGAGAGCCGCCCUGUCUGUGGAGAGAGUGCAAUCUUAUAGGAGUAAGAUGAUUGUCAGACCCACACUUUCAGGAACAGGCUGAACUAGAACCUGAUUGCACCUGGGCUUUUGUUUUGUUUUGAAUUGUUUGUGUUUCUGGGUGUGUUUGUGUGCUGGGUCUCGGGUAUUUUUCCUCAGCAAUGAGAGAGAAAAAGUAACAGACAAAUAGCAUUCUAGUAAAGCAUUGCAUUCAUCUGCUUGGAAAGCUGUAGUAAAAUGCCACAGGUAGCUUAGACAACAGAAGGUCACUUUCUUGCAGAUCUGCAACCAGAAGUCCAAGAGCAAGGGGCUCCCAGUGCUGCUUCAGCAAGGGCUGUCUUCUGGCUCACAGACUCCACCUUCUUGCAGUGGCCUCAGUGGCGCCUUCUCUGUGUGCACACAGGAAGAGGGUUCUAGGUCUCUUCCUCUUGCUAUAAGGAUACAGUCCAGAUUAAAGACCCUUAUGACCUUCUCCUGCUGAAACAAAAUACCCAACACCCGAAGUUAAAGGAGGAAAGGUUUCUUUGGCUCACAGUUUAUAGAGGUUUCAGUUCAUAAUUGGGUGGCUCCAAGACAGGGUGGCAUAGCAGAAGAGAAACAGUUCAUGGCAGGCAGAAGUCAGCAAAGUAGCUAAGAAGCAGCAAGUAAGACAGCAGGCUUUUUUUCUGUCCCUUAUAUCCUACCCAGGCUACCCACCCUUAGGGUGGGUAGUACUCACACCCAGAGUGGGCCUUCCCAUUAUCCACACAAAGAACUAUGCCAAACCAAUCAGUGGACUAAUUUAGUAAUCACCCUUGAUCCCAGGAUCACACACUUCAUCCCAGCCUCAUAUACUCUAGAUCCAGCCACCUCUGAAAAUCCCCACUUAUGACUGAUGAGGCUUUGGAGGGGGAACAUUUAAAUACAAGCCAUAACACCUUAUAUAAGUUUAAUUACCUCAUAUUAGCUUCUUGACACUAGGACAAAAUAUCUGUUGCUCAUAACACAAAGGAAGAGAAGUUUUGGCUCCCAGCUUCAGUGGGUUCAGUCCAUGGUUUACUGGCUCCAAGGCAGAAACAAUGGUGGAAGGGCCUGGCAGAGGAAAGCUGCUCAUCUAAGGGCAGCCAGGAAACAGAGAGAAGGGAGGCACUAGGGAGGAGAAUCCACCCUUCCAAGUCAUGACCCCAGUGACCUGUGUCGUCCAACCAGGGCCCACCUCCUGACAGACUGUUCAGCUAUGAACUUAUCAGUAGAUCAGUCAACUAAUAAGCCUAGCAUGUCAUAAUCCACUCAUCUUUUAAAAGCCCUACCUUGGAAUAAUGAGACUUUGGGGGGAUAGUUUAGACCUAAACUAUAGUACUUCACUGAGGUCCUAUCUAUAAACACUAUCACAUCCAGGGCUAGGCCUUCCACAUAUGAAUUUUGGAGAACAUAAUUCAUUCCACAAUAGCAUCUAUGCACCUAUCUGUUCAUCUAGAUUUCUGGCUCUUGAUAGAGUUUAUCAAUUAAUUUACCAAAAAAGAGAAGAAAAGGGAAGACAAGAAGAAAAGGAAAUUUUAAAGCUCAAUUAUACAUUUCUACUUGUGUAAGACUUAAAUUUUUAAAAAAUCAGAUAAUUACCUAUGACCUUGGAAAGCAGCUGGGGGCGCAGGAUUGGAAUGCAGAGCAGGUGAUAGUUGGAAGGAAGGGUGAAGUGUGGAUGUUUCUUUGAAGCCCAGAAGCUGAGUGUGGGUUGAGCGUCGGUGGAGUUGGAGAGGAAGAGUGCCCUUAGUGCAGGGUUCUGAGAAAAAGGGUUGCUCGGGGACAGAUGUCUAAAACUGGGAGAUCCACUUCCCAAGACCUAUUUUUCCUGUGUUACUCUGUGUGUGUUUCCUCAUCUGUAGAAUGAUGACAGUAGUGCUACAAAUAAACCAAAUGUAAGGAAAACCCUUUCCUAACACCUCCAUGAUCUUGUGAAUCCGCCCCCUUUCCACAUGGAGCUAUUGCUCCACACCCCAAAUGCCAAGCACCUGGUCCCAGAUGUAAAUGAGCCCAAGGGCUAUGCAAUGAGCAGCACACAUCUGUACUGAAGACCCCUUCCAGGAAGCCCUCAUAUUUCAAAUCACGCCUGCCUCAGCCCACAGGAGUCAGAACCAAGAUGCUGCUUGGUCCUACUGCCCCUGCUGCCUUUUGGCAAAACAAACCCUUGUUGAAACUUUCACUGGUGCCUGUGAGGACCUGAUCCUUCUGUGGUUCAGAACAAUCUCCCUCUUAGCCUUGGGGAUGUCCUCCCCAUUUGAAACUCGGCAAGAAUAAAGGAGAUGAAUAACCUGAAAGGAAGGUGCUAUGCCCCUUGCAGGCACACUUGCUGGUCUCCGGGGAAGGUACCAGUAUCAUCCAAGUUGUCCUGAGAGACCAGUCUUAGCUUUUACUCAGAAUUGCUUAAAAUUUACAAGUUCUGGAAGGUUUCCUCAUGGGCGUUGUACACUUCUGUUACACAACACACACGACAAUAGGAAAUGCCUACACUCACCUCUGGCUGGUGUGUGGGUUUUCUGUAACACCUCUGCAAAGGGUUUGCCAGUCUCAGAAUCAGCAUUGAGACCUGUGAGUCUCUACUCUUAUCAGGGAGAAGAAGACUUCAGAUGUCCUGGCUUUUGGAAGAGAAAGUUAUCUUCAAGUUGAUCCUCAGAAAAACUUGCCUUUCUCACAGGUGCUUUUCCUUCUGCCUAUUCCUUGUGUCCCCUCAUUACAGAACAUCUUGGGGUCCAGACACGCCCACAAUCCUGGUCUCUUCCUCAUAAAACAGUCAUUGGUGUGUAUGUGGGAGCUGGGGACUCUUUCAUGCCUUUCACAUACAGAUUAUAUGCAUUUCACUAGCAUUGGGAAACUGAAUUCAUACAUGCUUUUAAAGCUUUAUUUUGUUGGGAGUCAUGGUUUAGUUAUUUCAUGCAUCAUUUAGUUAAUUAGGUAUUUUGCUCGGUUAGAUAUGCUUAAUUAUCCAUGUAUACAAAUGAAAUAAUCACUGUAUCAGUCACCCAGAAAUCCAGUGUUUUCUGUCCUACACUCAAUUGUGUGUUCAAUGUUAAAUUUUUGAUUGUUGGCAGAUUGGCAGCCCCAAAUCCUGGGAACACUAAAAGUUCCCCAAAGCACAGUUUUGGGAGAAUAAUCUUGAAGGGACUGCUGUCACCUGGUGCUGAUCAUGGAUUAUCUCAGACCUUGAUUCUAGAGCUCACACCAUCUCUGAACCCAACCAUCACCUUUAUUCUAGACAGUAUCUGUUUUGACAGGAGAGCACCUGAUGAAUUUCUCUACCAUUUUUUCUCUCCAAGGCAAGAUAUUGCUUUAAUAAACUCAAUGGGCUUCCACAAAACACUGUUCUUAGGAAUCCAAUGUAGAGGGUUUGAUUUAAUGGAUGUGUCUUAGUUAUUUUUUUCAUUGCUGAGACAAAAUACCCAACACCCAAAGCUAAAGGAGAAAAGUUUUAUUUUGGCUCACAGUUUGUAGAGGCUUCAGUGCAUAGCUGGCUGGCUCUAAGACAGGGUGGCCUGGCAGAGGAGAAAUGGUUCAUGGAGGGCAGAAGGCAGCAAGCAACAAGUAGCAAAGAGGGACCAAGCGACAGCCUUUUUCUGAUCCUUGUAUCCUAACCAGGCUAUCUGCCCUCAUAGUGGGCAGCACUCACAUCCUUAGUCCUCGCAUUGCACCAUGAAUGAAUCCUAGCGUCACAUACUAGAGAUCCAGCCUCCUCUGAAAAGCCCCACUUAUGACUGCAUGAGACCUUGUGGGGACAUCUGGACACAGCCAUAACAGGAUGUGAUUCAGCUUUCAAAACAGCCACUGACAAUUGCUGGUCAUGCAGACCCAGCUAUUUAUUCUCUUUGCCACCACAAGGCCCCUCACAAUCUCCCGGCCCUGGACUGGAUUUAUUCCAGCUGUUUUUCAGGCCUUUUAUUUAGGACUUUUUAAAAGAUCACAAAUGUCCCUGAAAAUUCUUUGAAUAAAUUUCCCUGCAUUAUAUGAAAAGUGGCCCGUGAUAAUGACCCACCUAAAGACGUAAUAACAUCACCAAAUAGGAUCCCUGUGUUGAAGGCUCUGUGUAUUGUUAAUUUUAUUUAAUCAAAGAUUCCAAGAUGGUUUUACAAAGACUACUUGCCCCACAUGUUGUGUCAAAGGACACUCUUAGCAGCAGUUCCUGCUUCUACACAGUCUUCAGCAUUUGUCCAUCUCUGGUCCUUGCCCAUUCAGUGGGUGAGAAAAUGGCAUCCCUUCAAUUUCCUGCUAGUGAGGUUGAGCAAGUUUUCUAUAUAUUUGUUAGCUUUUGCAUCUUCUCUUCUGUUGAUCACCAGCUUAUGCACUUUGCCCAUUUAAGAAAACUGAGUUCUUUGUCUUUUCUAAAAAUCAAUUUGUAAGGGUUUUCUUCUGCACAAUUGGGAUAUAUCUGUAUUUUGUGAGAUAUAUUAUUAGUAUUUUAUCCCAAACUAUUAUUUUUCUUUUUGAUUCAUGAUGUCUUUUGCCUUAUAGAAAAUGUAUCAUUUAGGUAGUCAAAUCAGUC
rnacentral:lncRNA from 1 species